ensembl:lncRNA
GUAGGCUGCAGUCUUAAUGUGGUGGUGCUGGAGAUGACCCAGACCUCAGGAGCUGGGACAGCAAAGUUCUCUCUGGGCUUCAGAGCUGAAAUUCCCCAGUGUGGCACUGGGUCAGCCCUAGAGGAUCAGGAAAGCGACAAGCCGUGGAAAUGCUGUGUUUGUGCCAAAGAAGUUUUGACCAGAGCUUCCCAUGCAGGAUUGUUUUGUGGAUGUGUGUUAAAUCUUCUUUAAUAUCUAAUUCAAGAAGAAGCUAAAACAUAAAAAAGCCAACAGAAGUCUGACUAGGCCAAGAGGAAAGAGGGUCAGAGUUCAGUCCCGGCCCACUGAACCCUCAGGACGGAGCUGGGAGAGAGAUCCAAAGGCACACGCGUGCGUGGCACUCAGAGCAGGCAGAGAAAUAUGAGAAAAGAGGGUUUGACCUGCUGGUGGAAGAGAGGCAAUGGAAUUAGACUUGGGGGAAAAAGCUUUUCAAAUAAAACAUGUUGGCCAGAAGAGAAGCCAGAGCAAGGGUGUGGGAGAUUAGGAGGGCAUCAAAGAGUUCGGGCCUAAAUUAGCAUCUUUGACCUUACCCUCCAGGAGGUGGAGGUGGUAAGAACAUCAUCCAGUGCAGCCCCCUCGUUUUAGAGAUUAGAGGCCAAGGCCAGGCAGCGGCUUGGCCUGGCCUCUGAGGCUAGUGCUCUCCUCACAUCUUGCUGCUUCCUAGAUUGGUUCUUGGUUGGGGGAAGGCACUUACCUUGAUCUCACGCCCAACCUCACCCAGUGUGACCCCAGCGGGGACUCUGAUUACAAUCUGCAGCAGUAGCAAGGGAUUGAAAAUGGCCUGUAAGGAGGCAGGGUGAGGACGGUAGAGCCUGGUGCAAAGGAAAAACAGGGUCAGCUGAGCUUGGACCACCCCUACCCCCAGAAAAUCAACACAAGAGCCCUGAGAGCAGACUAACCUGUGACUUGUCCCUCUACCUCUCCGCAGCUCGGACCACCCCCAGGGUGCCGAAUGCCAUCCUGAUGUUUCAGCACCCAGAGAUGUAAAUAGAUCCCUCGAAUGGCUCUCAGAGAGGAGCGAUGCACAUGUUGGGAGACUGGAAGAACAGCCCUUUGGGCACCACAGGGUGGGAGCUGAGAUCAUUAGGGUUUAGGUAUGCCGGGGCUAAGAAUGGGAGAAGUUGGUAAGCAGCCAAGGACCAGAAAAGGAAGGAACUCGUUUUAAAUGUAAUCUGCCCAGUUCCAGGCCCACAAGACUGGUUCAAAUCGCUGUGCUCUUCUUGGCUGUCAGGUCCCGGCAAGAUCUUUUUCCUAAGCUAGCUCUGGGAAGCAACUUACAACUCAUAGCCCUUUAUCUUUAUUCCAGUUUCAAACUUCCCUGCCCAAAGGAAACUCCAAGACUUUGUUCCUCAAGCAGCUGCCUGCAUCGGAAUUCCACGGACAGGAGCUGCCAAGUUCAGCCUCACUGGGCAAGGCCGGUCAGCCCCAAUAGGUGGGACAGCUGGCAGAAACUCUGCCUCAUUCCAACACUGGCUGGCUGUUGGGGCAAGAGUUGGCACAAAGGCAAGUUUGUCCUUCUGCUCAGGCUAGCAUCCAAAUCCUACACCUCCCCCUGCUUGUCCUUCUGUGGAGAGACCUGUGAGGAUGCUCCAAGCUUGGGCUCCUGCUGAAGCAGGGUGCUCUGUGUAUUGCUUGUGAGUCCGGUUGGGUCCAGUCAACAGCCGUAUCUGACUCACUGACCUCCUCUCACUCCUCCCCUGAUUCAGGAGCCAGUCAGCAACCUCACUUCCCCCCAAGACUGUCAGGUAUACUUGAGGUAUCCCUGAGGGGUAAAUUUGGGCCUCCUGCCUGCUAAACAUCUACAUUGUUUUUACCUCUUCAUCCCUCAGGUUAACAUGUGAAAUGAAGAAUUCAGGAAAAAUAGGCACGAUGCAUCUUGGUACUGGUGUCCUGAGGCUUUGCAAAUCUGGAUGGUGAGUGUAUGUUUCAGCUAUUAUGUCAGUGUGGGGAAAAUGGAUGGAAACAACAGCUCCAUCUCCUGCUGCAUGCCCAAUCUCGCUGCCCCCCAGCAGAGGAGACUGCGCAAUCCAGCACAACUCAAAAAACAGUGGGUUUCCAGUGGCGAGCCACACAGGUGGAAAUGACAGAGAAGCCAAUUUCCUGUCAGGAAUCCAGCACUUUUAAGCCUGAAAGAAGCCUUUGCCCAAUAGGAGGCUGGUGGUGGCAAGUGACAGAAAAUGCAGCUCAAGCUGCAUGGAACAAUGAAGUGAUUUAUUGGCUGCCAACAUCACUGGAAAGUUCUCUGUUAGAGUGGCCUUAAGAUUUAUCAAGGCUCUCGCUUUUUCUCUGCAGUUCCCUCGGCUCCACCCUCCAUGUGUGUCUGUUUUGUCUCAGGCGAGCUUCCUCCAUGAUGGUGAGGUAGCCAUCAUCAUCAUCAGAGCAACACACUGCCUUCUUCCCAUCUGGGGACACAGCAAGAGCAGCUUCCUGUGGUCAUUGAAGGAAAGUCAGAAGGGGCGGAUCUGCCUGGACCACCAGAGCAGGCGACACCCUCGACAACUCCUGAGGCCAUGAUGGCAAGAGGCGUGAUGUCUGGCUGAUGCACUUUGAUAAAUCAGAAUCCACCUGGAAAAUCACAACUUGCAUCACAAUAGGAGAGGAUGGAAGGACACUGAGAACACUAGCUCAAUGCCUACCCUACCACAGGGCCUCAAAUCUUGUUUACAGAUGGGGAAAUUGGGGCCAAAGACCUCCCAAGUUUCUACAUCUAGUUUGUGGCAUUUCUAAGACUAAGCGUCAGUGGUCUUGGCUACAGUUGGCUGCCUUUAAAUCAACAAUGGAACAGAAGGCUUUGAUGGGUGACAAACACCCCGUCACUAGGGAGUUUCAAGCUGAGACUGGAUGACAUCAUAGCUAUAAAAGGAAUUACCACACUGAUCUCCAAGGGAGGACAGAGCCUCUGUUAUUGGCACUCCAUGAGAACAGUGUGGAGAUAAGACCGCUACUCCUGCUUCGGGGUGGUUGAGACGCCCCGCAGCAGGGAUGGGCCCAGCUUAUCCACGUUCUUGGGUUUGUAACUUCCUGAGAGAGGCUCUG